rnacentral:rRNA from 1 species
AGAGUUUGAUCAUGGCUCAGAACGUACGCUGGCGGCACGCCUAAUACAUGCAAGUCGAACGAAGUAGCAAUACUUAGUGGCAGACGGGUGAGUAACAUGUAGGUAUCUUCCCAUUGGUGAGGAAUAACACGAGGAAACUUGUGCUAAUACCUCAUAAGUCUUUACGGAGAAAGCUUUAUGCGCCGAUGGAUGAGCCUGCACUUGAUUAGUUUGUUGGUAGGGUAAUGGCCUACCAAGACAAUGAUCAAUAGCUGAUUUGAGAGGAUGAUCAGCCACAUUGGGACUGAGACACGGCCCAAACUCCUACGGGAGGCAGCAGUAGGGAAUCUUGCACAAUGGGGGAAACCCUGAUGCAGCGAUGCCGCGUGAGUGAAGAAGGCCUUUGGGUUGUAAAGCUCUUUCGUCGGGGAAGAAAAUGACUGUACCCGAAUAAGAAGGUCCGGCUAACUUCGUGCCAGCAGCCGCGGUAAUACGAAGGGACCUAGCGUAGUUCGGAAUUACUGGGCUUAAAGAGUUCGUAGGUGGUUGAAAAAGUUGGUGGUGAAAUCCCAGAGCUUAACUCUGGAACUGCCAUCAAAACUUUUUAGCUAGAGUAUGAUAGAGGAAAGCAGAAUUUCUAGUGUAGAGGUGAAAUUCGUAGAUAUUAGAAAGAAUACCAAUUGCGAAGGCAGCUUUCUGGAUCAUUACUGACACUGAGGAACGAAAGCAUGGGUAGCGAAGAGGAUUAGAUACCCUCGUAGUCCAUGCCGUAAACGAUGUGUGUUAGACGUUGGAAAUUUAUUUUCAGUGUCGCAGCGAAAGCGAUAAACACACCGCCUGGGGAGUACGACCGCAAGGUUAAAACUCAAAUGAAUUGACGGGGACCC